UACGUAGGGUGCGAGCGUUAAUCGGAAUUACUGGGCGUAAAGCGUGCGCAGGCGGUUUUGUAAGACAGAUGUGAAAUCCCCGGGCUUAACCUGGGAACUGCAUUUGUGACUGCAAGACUAGAGUGCGGCAGAGGGGGGUAGAAUUCCACGUGUAGCAGUGAAAUGCUUAGAUAUGACAUAGAACACCAAUUGCGAAGGCAGCUCACUACGGAUAUAUUGACACUGAGGCACGAAAGCGUGGGGAUCAAACAGG
rnacentral:rRNA from 1 species